rnacentral:rRNA from 1 species
UACGUAGGUGGCAAGCGUUAUCCGGAAUUAUUGGGCGUAAAGCGCGCGUAGGCGGUUUUUUAAGUCUGAUGUGAAAGCCCACGGCUCAACCGUGGAGGGUCAUUGGAAACUGGAAAACUUGAGUGCAGAAGAGGAAAGUGGAAUUCCAUGUGUAGCGGUGAAAUGCGCAGAGAUAUGGAGGAACACCAGUGGCGAAGGCGACUUUCUGGCCUGUUCUUGACGCUGAGGCGCGAAAGCUAGGGGAGCAAACGGG